UCAAUGCUCAACCACUGAGCUACACCAGCCGGGCUGCCAGAUGCCAUUUUUUAUGGGACUUCUAAAAAUUCAGAAUGGAAAUUUGAUUCAAAUGCGUGUUGACUACAUUAUAAACAGAGAACUGUGACACUUAAGUUCUUACAGGAUUCGGGAGUUUUGUUUGGUGCAGCUAGGUAAAGCUCUCUUAGUGGAAUGAUUGCAGAGUUGGUCACAGACAUGCGAAGAUUUGUGUAAAAUCUCUUGGUAGCGCCAGCAAGUUUAACUUUGCUGUUGGCGCCUUUGAAGGGAUGGUGUUGUGGCGGACCAUGGCAGGUGGAGUCUUUGCAACCCUCAUAAUGCACCUUUAGGAUUUUAACCCCCAAAGCACGGGGAGAGUAGUUUUCACACCAGUAGCUUCUGCUUAUUAUUCACGCUGCUCAUUUGGCUGUUGGUUAGAAGUACCCGUACCUACGCAGCAAUACUUGUGCAGGGACUGCCUGUCUCAACAUUAGGAGAGUUCAACGCACCCGUGCCAUGGACUGCCCCCACUGGUUCCAUCUGGCUGUGCUUUUCAAACCACCCCAUCUUCUGUACUGUCAUUUCAAGUUCAACCCUUUCAAGUCAGAGAUCUUUCUGGUCAGUGAAAAAGGAAGCAAAAUUGCAGCCGAAUCAUUCUGCAUUCUUGCCUUUGUGUAUAAAUAUUAAUUUUUAAAUAUUGUAUGAUUUAUCCAACACUUGGCUUAUUUCUGUUCAAUAAUAGUACCAAAGCUGCAUCUCAGAGGUGUUAACAUGUGACAAAACAUGCAUCUUGAAGUAUAUGAAUUAAGGAAAUUGCAUCUACAAUGCCAGACAUGGUGCUAAGCAUUUUGUAACAUCGAAUUCUCAUAACAGCCCUAUUGAGUAGGUCCUGUUUUACCCCACCAUCCAUUAACUGCAGCUCACAGAUAUGACUUACCCAAGGUCAGGAAGAACUGGACUUGGGGAAUGAGGCGGUCUGACCAGAGUUACCUCACUGCUCUAUUAGACACCUGGAUCCUAACAUAUAAAUUUAUAAAUGUCUCUUUGGGGGAGGAAAUCUCAUAGCCUUACAUCUUCAACUGCAAAAUUUCUAAACAGUGGGAAAUCAGUGAUUAAAAGAAACAAUUUUGAGUA